GGUUCUUCUUUGAUCUCAUCAUCUCACACAUAUUUCUGCUCCUUCAUAGCACCCACAAAAGGCACUUUUAAGAGCCACGUCUGUCGUAUCUGUCCCUCAUCUUUGUGUCCUUAAUUUGUCUAUUGUUCUUCACUUAAUUUGUCAACAAUUCUGUUUGUCUGUCUGUCUGUUUUUGUCUGUCUGUCCAUCAGAAGUCUUUGUUGUUGUUGUUUGUUUUUGUUGUUGUUUUUUUUUGCACUUUGCCAUCGUUUUUUAAGUAUGACAAGCCUCAAAUUCAGGCCAUGCACACAGUGUCAAACGCCCAAUCAGGCAAACAGAAAAACUUGUUUCGUCUGCCACCAGAGCCUUUCCACACAAAAAAAGGUGCAGACUUUCAACAAUCAGUGGAGGGAAACUGUUGUGAAAAACAGAAACGUUUCCCGAAUAAUCGAUUCUGCGCAAAUUGCAUUGUGCAAACUUCAUGCUUUAGGCUACAAGCCUAUUUUAUUUCUUGUUAAGGAAGAAAAGUAUUCAAGCAAGUGGGGUAGCAGAUGUAAUUACUCAUUUGGAGACCACUGCUACUACCAAGAAUUUUCUUGAGAAGAUUAAGAUGGCUUAUGAGUUUCUCCACUCUGUAGGCACGCCUGUACCAGUGCAGCCCCACACCUCCACAGGACAGGCUUUUUCACCCAAGGAGCUCUGGGCUGGUGAAAAAGCUGAGAACCUCAUCUAUGAACCAACAGAGACCACAGCUGAGGAGCAGCC